UUGAAAGGAACAAGUGGAGGACUCCUCCUUCUUGGAUAAAAGACUUUUUGUCUCUGAGACUUUUGCAGAUCCUGGUCAUGAAGGAGAAGAACCCUAUAGAGACCAACUUGUCUAUAAAGAAUAUCCUCUAGGAUCUUUCCACAGACAAUCUGGUGUUGAUGGAAGCUCUACAUCUUUAUCCCCCUACCAUGUUCCUGGUUUGCAUGGCCCCUACUCAAGGUUCAGCCACUCUGCAGAGAUCUCCCUUUAGUCCUUACCCAAUGUUCCUUUAACUUCCCACCUUCCUCCAGCCCCAGUAAGCAGUCAGGGUAAGGAGACACCCUCAGAACCAGGAACAGUUAUGGGAACCUUGAGCAAAAGGGCCAUCUCACCAAAUACAACAGUAUCUCUCCCACUGAGAGCUUAUGAGCUCAUAGAUGAGUAUGGCAUCAGGUCAUGCAAUAUUGGCCUUUCUCUUCCAUCAGUUUGUACAACUGGAAGGCCCACCAACCCCAACCCCCUUUCAGAUAACCCCAAGGGGCUGAUUAAUCUGUUUUAUUUACUCAUCAGCCCACCUGGCAUGAUAUCCACCAACUCAUGAGUGUGGUCUUCAUAACCAAAGAGUGAGAGAGAAUAGUGCAGAGAGCCAGAAAGAAUGCCUCUCAGACAUGGGGUCACCACCAAUUGCUCAGGCUGUCAUCAACAGCAGGUUUCUCCUGACUUGACAUGGCUGGGACUUUAAUACAGCAAAAGGUUAGGAUCACCUGAAGGUGUACCACCAGGCUCUGUUGGCAG
rnacentral:lncRNA from 1 species